CCGUUCCAAGAUGCUGUCAAAAUUAAAUCAAUAUGGCUACUGGAAGGCAAACAUUGAAUAUUAUUCUAUCAGGUUCUUAUGGUUUUAGAUCAUUUUAGUUGUUGUACAAAGAUUAAUUUAACAUUUUCUCUGGAAGUAUUAAUUUAGAAAGAUAAUAUGCCUCAUUGGUGUUGUGUUUUGAAGUGUGAAAUGCAAAGUAAUCGUGAUAAAGUUAGCUUUUACCACUUACCAUCAGUGCUACAUUCUAAGCACAAAACUGAACCAAUUUAACUAAAUAAGUUAUAGUUAUCAUCUGAGAGACAACAACAAUGGUAAAAUGCAAUAAAAUAUAAAGAUUUUACUAGCAAAAUGGAAAUUCCCCUGUAAUCAUCUUAUAUCUGGUAAGUUACAACAUUUGAACAUUAACGAUUUUUGAAGAUGUUAACAGUCUAAUCUUGUAGGAAAACCAGCCGACUUAACUGAUAAUAACAAUCCAGAUUGGGUUCCUUCAAUAAAUAUGGGGUAUAUAAACACAAUGAAAUGAGUUCCCCAAAAUCUAAAAUGGGAAUUAAGGUACCAAAGGAGAAUUAAAAGAAAAGGGUACCUACAAGAAAAAAUUGCUUUUUUAUUCCUCUUGAAAUGAUUUAUAAGACACUGGACUGUCUUAUAUUCUACAAAUACUAGAAUCAGCUGAGAGAAGUGGUCUACAAAAACCCAGGAAGGAAACGGAAUAUGUGGCUACGAAAGGCAAAAGAAAGGUUUACAAAGCAAAUGUGACACAUUUUUUUGAAAUAUUUAGGAAUAUCAGUAAAUUGCAUUAAAAAAAUGUAUGAAAAGAUUUUGUUCAAUAAAAAUGUUUAUAUUUA